CUCUGCAAACUCGCAAGAGGACGUAUAGGGUGUGACGCCUGCCCGGUGCCGGAAGAUUAAGUGAUCAGGUUAGCCUUCGGGCGAAGCUUGUGACCGAAGUCCUGGUAAACGGCGGCCGUAACUAUGAGCUAAACUCUGACCAUUGUAGUUACGUAAAUAAACUUGGCUAUAUGCUGGAAUAUCCGGUGUAUCUGGUGGUACUCGUUUGACAUCUCAUUUGACAAUGACGUUCAAACAGUGACAAUCCAUCCAGUGCGGACAAUCAGCAGGAAAGGUUCCUGUCAUGGCUUCGAAAGAUCAACACAAGAUUCCUGACCGAAUCGGUUAUUACCUCGCGGGGUUUGCCGACGGUGAAGGAAGCUUCAGCCUCUCUUUUCGUAAGCGCAAAGAUUAUUCACAGCCGUGGAAAAUCUCCCUGUGUUUCAACGUCUCCCAGCGUGACAAAGUCAUUUUGGCUUUGUUCAAGAGGCAUUUGAAGUGCGGAACGCUGCGCUCCAGAAAAGACGGUGUUUGGUAUUACGAAGUCAACAAUCAUCGAGCGAUUUGCGAGAAUGUGAUCCCAUUCUUUAAUCAGUUCGGAUUCUUGUCGGCUAAGAAAAAGCGCGAUUUUGCGAAAUUCAAGCAGGUCGCGGCGCUUAUUAGCGAGGGAGCACAUCUGACUGAAGACGGAAUUAGACGGAUUCUUGAGAUUCGCAGUGACAUGAACGAUGGCGGUGCGCGAAGACGUAAGUACUCGGACACCGAAAUCGUCCAAGUAUUGCUUCAAAGCAAUGUGACGGGAAAAUCCUCAGAGACUACACGCCAAGCCGCUUCAUUGAACUCAUGCAAGUGAUGCAAUGGCGCGGAUGAUAUAGUCCGAACUCUGUGGCGACAUAGAGAGCCAGACGGAAACGAUCUGGCCGGUUCGACAACUUUUCGAACUAGUAACAAACUUGAACGGUCCUAAGGUAAAGGUUUAUUCGUUGCCUUAGUAAAAUCUGGCUAUAUGCUGGGAACUCCGAGUAUCCGUCGGUACUUGCUUCUGCAAGUGACAAUCCGGCGGUGCGGACAAUCAGCAGGAAAGACCGGCAAAUCAAUGCUUUGCGAACUUAUGCAUAGCAGAGACUUGACGGAAUCCUCAGAGACUACACGCCAGACCGCAAAUCUCGUGAAGAUGAGCGGAAGAUAUAGUCCGAACUAUGUGGCGACACGUAGAGCAGUCCACGAAAGUGGCUGCCGCCUCAAUUUUUCGCCAGUAAUGGCGAUGAUGCUUUGAGGUCUGGUCGCAUGCUCAUGCGACCCAAGUAACAGCACGAGCGAAAUUCCUUGUCGGGUAAGUUCCGACCUGCACGAAUGGCGUAACGAUGGCCACACUGUCUCCACCCGAGACUCAGUGAAAUUGAAUUCGCGGUCAAGAUGCCGUGUACCCGCGGCUAGACGAGAAGACCCCGUGAACCUUUACUACAGCUUCACACUGAACUUUGAUCUAUCUUGUGUAGGAUAGGUGGGAGGCUUUGAAGCCUGGGCGCCAGCCCGGGUGGAGCCAUCCUUGAAAUACCACCCUGGUUAGGUUGGAGUUCUAACUCAGGCCCGUUAUCCGGGUCGAGGACCGUGUGUGGUGGGUAGUUUGACUGGGGCGGUCUCCUCCUAAAGAGUAACGGAGGAGCGCGAUGGUGCGCUCAGCAUGGUCGGAAAUCAUGCAAUGCGUGUAAAGGCAAAAGCGCGCCUGACUGCGAGACCGACGGGUCGAGCAGGGUCGAAAGACGGUCUUAGUGAUCCGGUGGUUCUGUAUGGAAGGGCCAUCGCUCAACGGAUAAAAGGUACUCCGGGGAUAACAGGCUGAUACCGCCCAAGAGUUCACAUCGACGGCGGUGUUUGGCACCUCGAUGUCGGCUCAUCACAUCCUGGGGCUGUAGCCGGUCCCAAGGGUAUGGCUGUUCGCCAUUUAAAGUGGUACGCGAGCUGGGUUUAGAACGUCGUGAGACAGUUCGGUCCCUAUCUGCCGUGGGCGUUGGAGAAUUGAGAGGAGCUGCUCCUAGUACGAGAGGACCGGAGUGGACGUACCUCUGGUGUUCCGGUUGUCACGCCAGUGGCACCGCCGGGUAGCUAUGUUCGGACGGGAUAACCGCUGAAAGCAUCUAAGCGGGAAGCCCCCCUCAAGAUGAGAUCUCACCGAAUCUUCGGAUUCAUGAAGGGCCCUUGUAGACGACAAGGUUGAUAGGCGGGAUGUGUAAGCGCCGCGAGGCGUUCAGCUAACCCGUACUAAUUGCCCGUUUGGCUUGGCCAU
rnacentral:rRNA from 1 species